rnacentral:lncRNA from 1 species
UCCUUCCUUCCUUCACUAGAAUCUCUUUCCAGGAGCCAAAUAAGAAAAGCAGUCAUAAAACAUGAGGCAGAAAGGCAAAGCCCAGAGAGAACAAGUCGGUGUCUCCUUCGCAGCAUUACUGGCUCUCCGGGGAAGACGGGGCAGAGCCGCUUACAACUGUUAGCCUGGGAUGCAUUUUGGUUACCUUUGUCUCACGGACUUUUGGGGAGUGAACUCUCUGCUUUCAAAAUCCACAGGGUAGGGGCCGGCCUGGUGGCGCAGUGGUUAAGCUGAUGUGCUCCGCUUCAGCAGCUUGGGGUUUGCAGGUUUGGAUCCUGGGCACGGACCUACACACCACUCAUCAAGCCAUACUGUGGUGGCAUCCCACAUACAAAAUAGAGGAGGAUGGGCACAGAUGUUAGCUCACGGACAAUCUUCCUCACCAAAAAAAAAAAAAAAAAUCCACAGGGUAGACACACUCUGUGUGUCCCUCCUCUCUAUCUUUCCUUUGGGAGGGAGACUAGAAUCUAGAGUCGAGAACUGAGACAACUGGAUGUCACAGAAUGGGCAAGAGCAUCCUCUUGGAAAGCUGAGGCUGCACAGAAGUAGAACUUGAUUUCAGGGCUUCAGAGGAUAAGGGCACGUGGCUCUAAUGUUCAUCACCAGAACUUCCAGGUACACAGGGACUGCGAUCCCAUGCCCUUUGCAGUCAGGCAUCGCCUACAGGUGACCAGAGGUGGCCACUGAAACCAGCAGGAACAACAUGUGUCAGUUACAGUCCCAACAACAGGUGUGAUACUCUAGUGUGCGCUCUCCCACUGUAACGCCGACCAAGCGGGCCUGUGUUUGAGAUCCUGCAGCCAGGGAGGAGCAGAGACCCUGAGCCAGGAUGGCAGUCCCCGCAGGAGGGAGAGUCUCCUGGCCUGCAGAGGCUUUGGUGUGAGCGAGGAGUGAAGCUUUGUGGCGACGGGUGGGGCAGCCCCUUGGCGUCUGCUGCGCCCUGCGGGGCUGGGAGGGAAGGCUUCGCUCUCUUCUCGGUGGCUUUCUUUACACUCUGCCCGCUUCUUAGCGGCCAAACCACUGCAGGGUGUCCCGCUUCUCUUUUGUUUUCCCUGUCCUAAGCGGGCGCAGCAGCUGUGGGGAGGGGCGCAGCUGUGGGAACUGAAGCGGGAAACGGCUGCUCCUCUUCCCUUCCGAGUUCCUCUUCUCCCAGGUGUUAGAAGAGCCAGCACAUCUCAGCCGUUGGCUGGUAAGUAUUGAUGCUCAUUAAACUAGUAAAAAUACAGACAGAACCUACUGAAGUCAUCUUCAAUUUUAUAUUCAUAUUGAUCCAAGAGAUGAGAAAAUUUUGUCAGGUUUGUUUUAUUUGAGCUUACUCCAUUUAAUAAAUCUUAAAGAUUUUUGUUCCCUCCUAGUAACUAAAUUGCAUUUCUUUAUUUCUGCUACAAAAUCCUGGCUCCACAUUUCUGACCUGGGGAAAAAAAAUCUAACUGAGAAUCAAAGGACAGGGGGUGUUCUGAACUCCAGCGUAAUUCAUUACGUCUUCUCUCAGGUUUGGAAACCCAGGACCGACCGCGGUGAUGAGCACGAGUCCCUGAAGGGUUUCGAUGAACCUCUUUUAUGCUGAAUUGGAGACAUAAAUGCACAUCUCUGUGUACCGUCCUCGUUUACUAAAUUUCAUCUUUGGAAAUUCAAUCCUGACUCUUGAGGAUAAAUUCCAGAUGAAAAUUGUAAUAUUGAUAUUAAGUUAAAACACAGGUCUUGGCCAAACUCUACCCAUAGCUGUGCUCAAACAGCCUUCCUGGCUUUCACAGGAAACCGGCACGUGUGUGGACGAGAUUGGGAUCUGAGUGAUGGUCAAGUACAGAACAGGAAGUCGCUUAGUCCGUUAAUGAAUUCUCAAAUUACUAACUGCAAGCAUCUUUUUGCCUGCGGCUGCCAGUUGAGACUAAGAAAGCCCAAAGGGACUCUGAAAUCUGUGAAAUGAAGCACCUAACCCCUUAGGCUGGAUGAGAGUCAAGGUACAAUAAUAGAGUAUGUCUCGACCUCUGUCCACUCUCAGAGAGUUUGCCAAGAUUAGAACUUGUCUGAAGUCUCUAAAGGCAGGAUUGUCUAGCUUGUCUCAACAGGAAGAAGUGGUCUUGAAACUGUGACCUUCGGAGGCAGUUGAGACUGGGGGAGGAGAGGAAAAUAGAAGGUUCUUAUAAAUGCAGCUGUUCAUAUCCCUCCUCUUAGAUCUCCUUACACAGAUGGCUAUCCAUGGAAUUGUUUCUCCCACUGGCUUAUUUUUUGGUGUCGUAGACUGAAAUAUUUGUUGAAAAACUUAUUAGCAACAAGCUUCCAAUGAGCCUUUCUUUGAAUGUUUAAAUAAUAGUCUCAAGGAAAAUUCUUGAUUAAGAGCAGUCCACACCGAAAUUUCAUAAGAUUCAAAAAGAUUCCAUUGACCUAUUCCAUUGGGCGUUACUACUGGAUUGGAAUAGCACAUUUACAGUAAAUGUGCCAGUUAAGAUAUGGCAAGUUAUGCUUGGUAACAAACAGAUCUAAAAUUGUAGGGGUUUAAAACAUUUGCUCACAUUACAUGUGCAUUUUAGGUUUGGUUUUGGUUUUUCAUUGUCUUCCAUCAG